rnacentral:rRNA from 1 species
CGCCUCUCGUAGGCGUUUCGAAAAUGAAUCAAAACUUUCAACAACGGAUCUCUUGGUUCUGGCAUCGAUGAAGAACGCAGCGAAAUGCGAUAAGUAAUGUGAAUUGCAGAAUUCAGUGAAUCAUCGAAUCUUUGAACGCACAUUGCGCCCGCCAGUAUUC